rnacentral:tRNA from 1 species
AAUGAGUUCAUAAAGCAAGUCUUCUAAAUUUGUUCUAGGUUAAAUCCUGCUCGUUU